CUUUAUUUGUGUUCUGAAGAUGAACGAAGGACUUACAGGUUUGGAACAACAUGAGGGUGAGUAAUUAAUGACAGAAUUUUCAUUCUUGGGUGAACUAUCCCUUUAAGAACAGAAAUGGACAUUGCAGUUGAGAAUAAUGAGGGAAAUUAUUUUAAGGAAUUUUUAUUAAACCACAAAAGUGAAAAAGACCAUGAAAAUAAUAUCAGCAGCUAUUUGUAACUUUUUUUCUCUUUUUUUUAUCAAUCCUAUUUAUAAACAUUUCAGCUAUUCAUUUUAUGGCUUGUGCUUUUAUAAUCACAAUUUUAUAAUCUGAUCUUUUAUCAUGUUUUUCACAAACAGGUCUAUGCAAAAGUGCAGACGUUUUGGUGGAAUUUAAAUUAAAUGGUUGAACAUU